AGGGAACCUGAGAAACGGCUACCACUUCUAAGGAAGGCAGCAGGCACGCAAAUUACCCAAUGGUCGCAGACCGAGGUAGUGACGAAAAAUAACGAAGCCGGACUCAUCCGAGGCCCGGUUAUCGGAAUGAGUACACUUUAAAUCCUUUAACGAGGAACAAUUGGAGGGCAAGUCUGGUGCCAGCAGCCGCGGUAAUUCCAGCUCCAAUAGCGUAUAUUAAAGUUGUUGCGGUCAAAAAGCUCGUAGUUGGAUUUCGGUGAGCAAGGAGGGGUUCAUCGUUUGAUGUAACUGCUAUCUUGUCUCGCGAUUUUUCGGCAGAGGUUUCAAUGGUGCCUUUCAUAGGGUGUCUUGAGAUACUGUCGGGUUUACUUUGAAAAAAUUAGAGUGCUCAAAGCAGGCUGUUAAAAGCUUGAAUAUUCGUGCAUGGAAUAAUAAAAUAGGAAGUCGUUUCUAUUUUGUUGGUUGUCGGAAAUCGACUUAAUGAUUAAUAGGGACAGUCGGGGGCAUUAGUAUUCAGACGACAGAGGUGAAAUUCUUGGACCGUCUGAAGACUAACUACUGCGAAAGCAUUUGCCAAGAAUGUUUUCAUUAAUCAAGAACGAAAGUUAGAGGUUCGAAGGCGAUCAGAUACCGCCCUAGUUCUAACCAUAAACGAUGCUAACUAGCGAUCCGCAGUUGUUUAUUUUUACGACUCUGCGGGAAGCUUCCGAGAAAUCAAAGUUUUUGAGUUUCCGGGGGAAGUAUGGUUGCAAAGCUGAAACUUAAA
rnacentral:rRNA from 1 species